UUCCCGACCCCAAAGGCAUCUGGAAACAAGCUAUUCCUGUUGGAUUUGCUGCUGCCUGAACACCAAGACCUUCAUCAGCCCUGUGAAGACGUGGGAGAGGUGGAUCAGCCAUGAAGAUCCUGUACCUGCUCUUUGCCUUUCUCCUGCUGCUGGUCCAGAGUGCUGCAGGAAGCAAAUUCAGAUGCAAAAUAAAUGGGGGAGACUGCAGAUUUGGGAAAUGCCAAUACGGUACAAAACCAAUUGGAAGAUGCUCAUCAUUUAGAGUGUGUUGCAAAAGCACAUGGGGUUGAGACCCUGAAAUGUCCAAGCAGGACGUUCCCCUCGCUUCUGGCUCCUGGAACCAUCUCCUGAUGUCCUCUCCCCUCCCUGCCUCUGCCUUGCCCAGCUGCUGGGACAGCAGCAGUGGCAGCUGCUCCUGCUGGGUGCUGCUGGGCUGGAGACAUCUCGUCCCAGCCGUGGGCUCUGUGGGGCAGAGGCUGCUUUUCCCAGCUUGAAUAAAGAUGAGCAGUUUGGCAUUGCA